rnacentral:rRNA from 1 species
AAACUUUCAAACAACGGAUCUCUUGGUUCUGGCAUCGAUGAAGAACGCAGCAAAAUGCGAUAAGUAAUGUGAAUUGCAGAAUUCAGUGAAUCAUCGAAUCUUUGAACGCACAUUGCGCCCGCCAGUAUUCUGGCGGGCAUGCCUGUUCGAGCGUCAUUU